rfam:TPA: Bos taurus chromosome 16, whole genome shotgun sequence.
UCCCUGGUGGUCCAGUGGCCAGGACUCUGUGCUCCCAGUGCAGGGGACCCAGGUUCAAUUCCUGGUCAGGUAA